rnacentral:lncRNA from 1 species
CUAAUCUGUAUCUAAAUAAAACUCAAGCAUGGAUAUGAUGAAUAGUUGCUCUGCCUAAUUUGCAUAUUUUAAGUUCUCUCUCAAAUUUAGACAUAACUGUUAUAAUUUAAAGCUUGCUCUAGACCUAAACUUGUGGGAUGAAAACUUGAUCUCAAGUCUAAGUUGUUAACGGAUACGAUAUAUAAAGUGGCUAUGCUAAUCUGUAUCUAAAUAAAACUCAAGCAUGGAUAUGAUGAAUAGUUGCUCUGCCUAAUUUGCACAUUUUAAGUUCUCUCUCAAAUUUAGACAUAACUGUUAUAAUUUAAAGCUUGCUCUAGACCUAAACUUGUGGGAUGAAAACUUGAUCUGAAGUCUAAGUUGUUAACGGAUACAAUAUGGGAAGGUUGAGCUGCUGUUUAUCUGUUCCUAGAGAUGCUAGAAUUCUGGAGAAUUUUAUCUUUGAAAAUCUUUAAAAUAUUGCAUGAUGAGUUUCUGUAUGAUGAGAGUUUAAAUUCCUACCACAACCAUAUAUACAUGCUUGCUAGACUUUGAGCCACACAUUUACUACUUACUGCUUAUGAACAUUGAGUGUGGUCAAACUGUGUAGACCCUUAGGAGCUUGUCAUGUGGUUAAAUCAAGAUUUCACUUGUAUGUUCACUCAUACAUGCUACUUCUACUCCGGAAGUACCAUCCACAUAUAUUCACCCAUUCUCAUCUCCAGAACCACCUAAAAAUAUUCUACUCCUAAUCCGGGAGAGAAUAAUCAAAAAUAUUUCUAUUUUCCCCUGUGAAAUAAAUGCUCAAGUUAUCUUGUUACUACCACUUGCUAUAUUAUCUCAAGAGAUGAGUGCUCUAAAAAAAGAAGAAAAAAAAGAGAUACGAGGAAAUAAAAAGGAGCAAGUGCUCGGAACCUCGAAAGAAAAGAAAAAGUGAGACGAGAGGUAAAAAUGGACAAGUGUCCGACAGUAGAAUUAGGGGUACAAGAUACCCACCUGAGAGGAAAGAAAAUGAAGAGCAUCUCAUUCUCCUCACAAAGUUUCAAAAAGCAAGAAAGGUAUGUAUCCCCUAAAAGAGCAAAGUAGAAUUAGACUUUCACCACUGUUACCACCAUCAUCACCAUACACCAUUCAUUCGCCACACAUGCACAUCUUGAUUAAACUUAUUGACUUGUUACUUUGGAUCCAUGGUUUGACUAUGCAAUAAAUGUCUUGUAAGUAUGUAUACUUUAUCUCCCACCUAUGAGCUCCAGAUAUUAAAGCCUUAUUAGAGUAGGGUGAGAGAGAAGGCAAUAUCACUAUGCUUUAUACCACAAAUACCACAUAUCUUGAGAGAAGGCAUAUACCAUCACUGCCUUGGUAAGGAUCCAGAAAUACCACAAAAGAGAUAUUUUAGAGAGUCAUACAAGGAAUCUCUGAGUUUUAUUUGAAAAUCUGCAAAAACUCCAGAGCUAUAGCUGAUCAAGAAUAAGAGAUAUGACACUUGACUAGACUGUUCUAUCUUUUAACUACUCAAGACAGAAGUGACGGUUACAAGUCCCAUGGUAGAAGGUAAAGUAAGUAAGUUUUAAGUCUUCAUAGUUUACUCUAACUCAGAGAUGAGAUCUUAUGCCAGAUCGUGGGGUAGUUCGUGAUAGUGACAGCUUCAUUGAUUCUUAUAUAGUCCCCCUCUCGUGUGUUGGGCUGGCAGAGCAACAUUAUUACAGGGGAGUGAUUGCUAUGUUUCUCAUUUACCUUGCUAAUAUCACUAUGCAUGGGCGUAGUCUUGUCUCGCAAUGAUUGCUAAGUAUGCUUGAACUAAUUAUGAUAAUGCUAGACUAUAUAGUUGAGAAUAACUUAGAGAAUAUUCUUGUAGUUCGUUCUAAUACCAUACUAAUGACUUUCUAGAGUAUCUAAUUGAGGUGCUUAUCAUAUUUAUAUGUGGCUGAUCAGAUUAAUUAUCUUUGUCACUAUUCAUUAUUUCAUAUAUCUUUUAUGUGACACUUACCCCUGUAUGAAAGAGUUAGAUAAAUGUUCUCAAUUAUACAUGCAAUGAUAGAUACUCAAUCUUAUAUUCUAUUCUGUAAUCAAUAUUGAUGAUUGUUAGUCCCUUCCCAGUGGUAAAAAUAUAAAUAACGAUACCUGGAAUACUUCCCGGUUAAAAUACUACAUCGGUAUUAAUCUGUGCGC